rnacentral:rRNA from 1 species
UACGUAGGUGGCGAGCGUUGUCCGGAUUUACUGGGCGUAAAGAGCGCGCAGGCGGUCGUUCAAGUCGAGUGUGAAAGCCCCCGGCUCAACUGGGGAGGGUCACUCGAUACUGAUCGACUUGAAGGCAGGAGAGGGAAGCGGAAUUCCCGGUGUAGUGGUGAAAUGCGUAGAUAUCGGGAGGAACACCAGUGGCGAAGGCGGCUUCCUGGCCUGUUCUUGACGCUGAGGCGCGAAAGCUAGGGGAGCAAACGGG